rnacentral:rRNA from 1 species
UGGUCAUUUAGAGGAAGUAAAAGUCGUAACAAGGUUUCCGUAGGUGAACCUGCGGAAGGAUCAUUACAAAUGACUGGGAUGUCCUAUCGGACCCCCAAGCAAACACAUCUAUGUGUACUCUGCCAUGUUGCUUCCCCAGACCAGUGGCCACUGCUGCCAGCCCAGCCCCUAAUGGGUUCCUGGGUUGAGGUGUCUGGGGAAGGGCUCAAUAUCAAACUUUUCAACCUACUAGUCGUCUGAGAAGGCCAUGUGCCGCAAUAUUUAAACAAGUUAAAACUUUCAACAACGGAUCUCUUGGCUCUCGCAUCGAUGAAGAACGCAGCGAAAUGCGAUAAGUAAUGUGAAUUGCAGAAUUCAGUGAAUCAUCGAAUCUUUGAACGCACAUUGCGCCCUUUGGUAUUCCUUAGGGCAUGCCUGUUCGAGCGUCACUAAAAACCGACUCACAUAUCGUGUGGUAUUGGUAGAAGUGGAUAGUACUAACACUACUUUGUCUUACUCUGCUGAAAUGAAUAGGCCAGAAAAGUGGACCAUGGUAAUAGAUUCCAGGAGUGUUUUAAAAUGCUAUACUAGUCUUAUCCAAGUCAUAUUCUGAGCCACUGGACCCCCCAUUUAGUCCAAACAACAGGUGGUUGACCUCGGGAUCAGGUAGGGAUACCCGCUGAAACUUAA